rnacentral:misc_RNA from 1 species
AACGCACGAGACCUGCGGACCUGCGGAAGGAUCAUUAGUGAACGCCCUCACGGGCUUAUAACUAUUCCAAACCUCUGUGAACCGUGCCCUCCGGGGCUAUUUUACAAACAUGGUGUAAUGAACGUCAUAUAUCAUAACAAAACAAAACUUUCAACAAUGGAUCUCU